rnacentral:Y_RNA from 1 species
GGCUGGCCCGAGUGAAGCAGUGUUUACAACUAAUUGAUCACAACCAGUGACAGAUUUCUUUGCUUCUUCUCCACUCCCACUGCUUCACUCGACUAGCCUUUA